rnacentral:rRNA from 1 species
CAGUAGCCGCGGGAAAACGAAGGGGGCUAGCGUUGCUCGGAAUUACUGGGCGUAAAGGGAGCGUAGGCGGAUCGUUAAGUUGGGGGUGAAAGCCCGGGGCUCAACCUCGGAACUGCCUUCAAUACUGGCGAUCUUGAGUAUGAGAGAGGUGUGUGGAACUCCGAGUGUAGAGGUGAAAUUCGUAGAUAUGCGGAGGAACACCGAUGGCGAAGGCAAUCCCCUGGGCCUGCACUGACGCUCAUGCACGAAAGCGUGGGGAGCGAACAGGAUUAGAUACCCCCGUAGUCCCUGUCUCUUAUAC